AAAAAUAAAAUAUAUUUUCUUUAAAAAUUGCCAUUCUCAAGGUUGGGAGUCAGGGUGAAGAGUAACAUCCCUCUGCCUUCACAUUCCUGCUGUGACAGACUGCUGUGAGCUAAAAGUAGACCCCUUUCUCUCUUAACUCACUCUGUCAGUGUUUUAUGACAGCAACAGAAAAGAGACCUAGAUACCUGCCUCUUCCCUAUGGUUCUGAGAUCUGUGAGGGUUGGAGGAGGAGGGAAGAUACGGCCCCUCAUAUUCUGGGGGCACAAUCACAGGGGCGGGGCAAGGGUAGAGGAAGUCACUUCUCAGAUUCCACUGAGGACUGCGCAGACUCACUGCUGGGCCUACUGUGGGAUGCCAGGCCUACUGUGGGACACUGGGCCUACUGUGAGAUGCCAGGCCUACUGUGGGAUUCUAGGCCUACUGUGAGAUGCCAGGCCUUCUGUGGGACACUGGGUCUACUGUGGGACACUGGGCCUACUGUGGGAUGCCAGGCCUCCUAUGAGACACUGGGCCUACUGUGGGAUGCUAGACCUACU
rnacentral:lncRNA from 1 species